GGCUGGUCCGAAGGUAGUGAGUUAUCUCAAUUAAUUGAUCACAAUCAGUUACAGAUUUCUUUGUUCCUUCUCCACUCCCACUACUUCACUUAAACAGCCAUCC
rnacentral:Y_RNA from 1 species